AUCACGCGCGAUGCGUGGCCACGCCCUCCAACUCAUACAAUGAUGAUCAGUAUGUCUUUAUCGAGGAAGGUUGUUCAGUUGAUGAGAGCACUGUGAUCAGUCCAGACCAGCUCGACUUUGUCGGAGUCACCAUGACAACCUUCCGUUUUGUUGGCUUAGGCAACAGGGUCUACAUCCACUGCGACCUGCUCGUCUGUGACGCAACAACGGGAACCUCACAGAAUGCGACGUCACAUGCCCAAGCGGGCUGAAUGCGCGUCAACGUCGUGAUGUCACAGGCUCAAAGUCUACGCUUGCGCGUACGAGGAUCAGCCGUGGACCAAUCAGAUUUAGACGUAGCCAAGAGAAUUACGAGCAGAAGGAAUGGAUUUCAUACGACGGUAAACCCACGAUCUCCUCUUUCAACCCCUGGAUGCUGGCUAUCGUUGCCAUGGCAGCGAUCAUGAUAGUUCUCCUCGUCGUCGUGGUGGUGGUCGUCAAGAAGAUGACGUCAGCGAUUCGUUCGUCCCAGAUGCCCGGAAGCGGGAUGAUGAAGCAGCAGUACCACUUAUGAACGAAUGAAUUGUAUUUAAAAAAAAGUCGUCGUAGAGGCCAGCAGACAGGUAGUUUCCGAAGUGAACAUAGGCUUAUUGAAACGAAAACAAUUAUUAUGUUUUUCUUUAAUUGUUUGUAUUAUCACAUGUAUAUUUCACAUGUAGCAGUGUUUAUACGUUGUUGUUUUUAUAAUGGUUGGUGAAAUGAAAUGAAGGUUUAUUGAAAUGAAAUGAU